rnacentral:other from 1 species
CUUCCUCUGCCGUGUUCGACAGCGCGCAAACAUUCGCCUUGUCCCUUAAGAACGACAUCGGAAAUGUGAAGCGACCGGGCGUGCAUGUCCGCCAUGUGCGGAAAGCCCGAAGGUCGCCAAGCGCUUCCACUUGAACCCUGGGUUCAAGGCCGUUCAGCCGCAUCGGCACGGCGGAGGAACC